GCUAGCAUACCCCAAUUGAAGAAAUAUAUUACAUUUUUGUUUUCUUUUGAUCCAUGUAGAAUUUGAACAAGGGUAAAUUGGCUAGUGGAUAGUGAAUAUGUGACUUGUACCCCUAGCUACAAUUGGAACCAGCAAGGCGUUCUAUUCAGCAAGGGAGUAAUGUUAUUUCCAUUUAGCUUAAAAUCAUUGACUAUUUGUAGAUUCCCCGACUGUCUAAUCAUUAGUCUCAAAAAUUAUUGCUUGGUGAAAGCUUUUUUUAAAAAAAGCUUCAGGAAACAAAAGUGCAUUUGGUGGUAUAUGAAGAUAACCUAAAACAGGAUAUCUGUUUCAUUUAUGGGCCUUUGUCUUAUUCUUUGGUCUGAGAUGAUUUUUUUCUGAGUUGACUUUUUAGGUGCCACGUGUGCCAACGCAUACACUUGCCAUGGUUGUACCUCCCCAGGAACCUGACAGAACUUCACAGGAGAACUCUCCUGCCCUUUUAGGAGUGCAAAAAGGUACAUCCAAGCAGAAGUCCAGUUCCCU
rnacentral:lncRNA from 1 species